CACGAGGCAGAAACCAAUCACUGCAAGAACCCUUCAAGGAGAGGGCAGUCUGGAUCCUGGGGACCUCCUCCAUUAACUGGACGAUUCUGCAUGCCCUACCCUGGAGACGCCCCGCCCCCAUGGACUAUUAGGCACUUCCACCUCCUGAACCUUAGUGGCCCUGAGGCCACCCGGAACCCCUCCACCUGCAACACUUGGCUAUUUUGUAUGCAAGAGUCCUGGUCCUUUCCCAGGAUUGCCUUGCAGGCUGUGCCCCGCGGACCACCCUUCACCACCAGUCAUGGGCUAUAGGCCACAUCCCCCUCCUCCACCUACUCUAUUUGUUAAGAUGACCUGAACUGGACGAGUGGCUGCUAAAGUAUAUUCAUCUUCUUCAUGAUUGACUUUGUGGCAAUGAUGGAGAGACAGUUGUGAGUCUUGGCAAUCCAACUACAAACUGCCUGAGGACACUGUAGCAUGUCUCAAGUUUCUCAGGACAUACAUACAAUGGACAGUGGCAUGUCCCUGUAAUACAGUGAGCUAUACGUUUCUCUUGUCAAAUGAAAGAGGAUUUUUUACACAAAAGCAGACGUAUCAGCGGUACUGGUGCGUAUGUUGGAGACACAAUAUUUUGGGUUCUGUGAUGAAUGAGGUGCACCCCUAACUUUUAGAUCAUCAGGUGUCCUGUGUGAAAGAGGGACAUUCAUUAAACGAUGCAGACCUUGUGAUCACCAACAUGGAAACACCAGUGAGGAUCCAGGGCAAAACGGGGGGAGCCUUGAAUCAUACAGGAAUAGAAGGGAAGUUGAGCACAGUAAGCAGAGUUUGAGGAGGUGCAGAGGGGAGGGUGUUGGGGUCAGUGUGAUGCAGUUGGAGGUCAUUCUUGGUCACAGCCUGAGCAGGGAGUGUGAGGUCCAUACGGAGCUGCUAUGUGGGAUCGCUCUCAGUGCACAAUGCAGCGUUCAUCUCCAAAAUGUCAGUGUGUUGCCAAAGUGCACGCAGGUAAUCACCUAAAAAGAUUCUUGUCUCCCUGGAUUUUCCUGAAGGUUCUAGAUAUUUGUGGGGGGAAAAGAGCCCUGGAGAUAUGGGACAUUUAACUUGGGCUUAUGAAAAUGCUGUAUGCCCAAGUUCAUAUCCCUCAGUGAGACUAAAAGUGGAGACAGGGUCUAGAUCAGCUAAGUCAUCCUACAAUUCAGGGCUGGCCAGAUGCCACCACUGCUGGACCCCUGUCAUCACCCUGACUACAGCUUUGCAUCUCCUCAAACUUCUCUCACAAUAUUAUGACGCUUUGCCUGUGUUCCUGCUGUCUUAGCCCUAAUACCAGUUCUCAGUGGGACCUACACAGAGCCUCAGCUGUGUUAUCUGGGAAAACAGGGGUAAUAUUUGUUUCUAAGAACAAGAGAAAAAGAAGACAUUCAGUGCAUAAAGCGUCCGCAAAAUCUCUGAGAAGUGUCCCCUCACGCUUCUCACAGUUUCAAUUAAGAUAUCUCCACACAAUGAUCCUCCAAAAAAGAUGGUCACGGGAGUUCAUUAAACUAAGACUGUUAACAACUCAGCCCAG